rnacentral:pre_miRNA from 1 species
AACGUACUUCCUCUGUUCGGAAAUACUUGUCAUAAAAAUAAAUAUAUCUAAACGUAUUUUAAUUAUAGAUACAUCUAUUUCUACAACAAGUAAUUCCGAACGGAGGGAGUACUUC